GACUGAGUGGUGUACUGGUAACAUUCGUGCUAGUUGUGGACACUAUCCUCAAUCGUUUACUGCGUGGGUUGUGGGUUCGAAUCCCAUCUCAGUCA